CGGAGCUGAUGGAAGAAUCCAGGAUGCUGUUUCUCCCAGUGAAGCUGAACUAAAACAUUUGCUAGUACAGGCUGAUUCUCAGAUCACCCUGCUUCACUUAUUGAUCUCUUUGAUUCAGUGCAUUACAGCCCAAAAACUUCUCCCUCCCCCUCUCCCUUUAAUCAGCGUAGAUCAUGUUUCAGCAGGGCUUUAAUGGACUCUUGAGGAUAGUCAUAGAGUGCUUUACCCUUAUGACUUGGUGGCUGUGUAAUCAGUCCACUGGCUUAAAAUCCAUCUGAUUUUCUGGAAUUCUUCUGAAGAGAACUGAAAGGAGGCCGACAGUGACAGAAUUGCACUGCAGGAGCAGGACUCAGGGUAAAGGGCCUGUCAUUCACCAACGUUGUCAUCAUGUCCAUCAAAAUACGCAAACAUCCAGAUGGCUGCUUGCCUCCUGCUUGCCAUGCUCUGGAAUAUUUUCUGCUGUUUCAAAGCACCCUGUGAAGGAGAACAUCAGGACCGUGUUUUAGCCCAGCUGCACCCAAAGAACCUCCCACCUUCAUGGGCCAAACAAGAUUCUGCUGCCCCUGAGUUUGGCUCGGCCCUUUACAGCAGGUUUGCCAGAGGUGUCUGCUUGCUGCAUAACCGCUUCAAAGGGAGGCUGGACAACUGCUUGAAGGAGGAUGCUCAACACAUUUGUUCCUGGCCCUUGUACUGGCUUUUAUGUGUGCCUUUCACCCUCUCAACCAAUCAUCACUGUGACCUCAAAUCUUGCCUAGGACAUGCUGUGAAAGUCCACAGAGCCAUCUGAACUCGUUCAUGCAGCAGCACAGUGCUGAGAGGGCCGUGGCUGACAAACAAGAAGCACUUCUCCCCUCAGGUGGCCUGCUCUUCCUUGUCAAUCACACUGUGGGGAAAAGUAGCUGAAAACCAGCUGUCCUGCCAAAAAGGACAGAAGAGUUUCUUGUGGGCAAUGAGAGUUAUUUAUUUAUUUAUUUUACUUAUUUACCACACUCUAGUAAGAAGUUUGAUUUUCCUAAAUCUUACAAAUCACCUGCCAAGGACACGGAGCAUCUGGCUUUCUUCAGCAAAUAAAUUGCUUGCCGUGUGUCUGCUGUCCA
rnacentral:lncRNA from 1 species